AGUGAACGCUGGCGGUAGGCCUAACACAUGCAAGUCGAACGGCAGCACAGUAAGAGCUUGCUCUUACGGGUGGCGAGUGGCGGACGGGUGAGGAAUACAUCGGAAUCUACUUUUUCGUGGGGGAUAACGUAGGGAAACUUACGCUAAUACCGCAUACGACCUACGGGUGAAAGCAGGGGAUCUUCGGACCUUGCGCGAUUGAAUGAGCCGAUGUCGGAUUAGCUAGUUGGCGGGGUAAAGGCCCACCAAGGCGACGAUCCGUAGCUGGUCUGAGAGGAUGAUCAGCCACACUGGAACUGAGACACGGUCCAGACUCCUACGGGAGGCAGCAGUGGGGAAUAUUGGACAAAGGGCGCAAGCCUGAUCCAGCCAUACCGCGUGGGAGAAGAAGGCCUUCGGGUUGUAAAGCCCUUUUGUUGGGAAAGAAAAGCAGCAGGUUAAUACCCCGCUGUUCUGACGGUACCCAAAGAAUAAGCACCGGCUAACUUCGUG
rnacentral:rRNA from 1 species